rnacentral:rRNA from 1 species
AACGAACGCUGGCGGCGCGUCUUAAACAUGCAAGUCGAACGAUCUGUAGCAAUACAGGGAGUGGCGGACGGGUGAGGAACACGUAGGAAUCUACCUUGAAGAGCGGGACAACUUUGGGAAACCGGGGCUAAUACCGCAUAGUACAGAGAUGUUAAAGGGCUAGCAAUAGUCGCUUCGAGAUGAGCCUGCGGUCUAUCAGCUUGUUGGUGAGGUAAUGGCUCACCAAGGCUACGACGGAUAGCCGGUCUGAGAGGAUGAUCGGCCACACUGGCACUGAGACACGGGCCAGACUCCUACGGGAGGCAGCAGUUAAGGAUCUUGCGCAAUGGGGGAAACCCUGACGCAGCGACGCCGCGUGAAGGAUGGAGGCUUUCGGGUUGUAAACUUCGGUAGACUGGGAAGAAGAAAUACGUUCGUUGAGGGCGUAUAGUGACGGUACCAGUCUGAAGCCCCGGCUAAUUACGUGCCAGCAG